GUGAGCUGCUUUCUGGCUGUGGUGUCAGCCUAUAGAGUCCUUACGUAGAGCGUGGAAGCAUCUGGAGAAAUCGCAUUUUCAUAAUGUAGCAGCAAUAAGUCAUCAUUUGUUCCGCUUAGAUCUGCUCUGCAAAUCUGAUAGGAAGAUUUCUCCCCAGGGAUCUCAUCUUGCUUCCUUUACUUGUUCACUGAAGACCAUGAGAACCACACAAAUGGGGUGCUCUUUGGGAAGCAGACACAGCAGACAGGGAGAGAUGAGUUGGUAAACUAAUACCAGCUUUGGAAGACUUCUGUAAAGAGACCACGUUGCACCGCCAACAUCAUUACGCUUGGGUCUUACCUAAAUGAAGCUUCUCAGUGUAUUUCAUAAAAGACUGAUGGACAAGAUAAUUUGACUGACACCAACCUAGUUUUUCCUGACAUCCCCUGCACACGCAAGAUCUGACAGCUGCCUUCCAACCAUCUCUAUGUCUCUGAAGUUCCAGUAAGUGCUGCUUCUGAGCCCAUCUAUUCUGUGUGUUGCACCAGUGGUGGCCAAAACCCAUGGAGCCAGCAUGCCUUGCCU